rfam:Lachnospiraceae bacterium 5_1_57FAA genomic scaffold supercont1.1, whole genome shotgun sequence.
AAGGAACAACAGGGGUGCUCGCGUAAGCGGGCUGAGAGUAAGCUGUAUCGCUUUAACCCAUAACCUGAUUUGGAUAAUGCCAACGUAGGGAGAUAUAGAAGUAAAGUG